rnacentral:rRNA from 1 species
AGAACGAACGCUGGCGGCAUGCCUAACACAUGCAAGUCGAACGAGACCUUCGGGUCUAGUGGCGCACGGGUGCGUAACGCGUGGGAAUCUGCCCUUGGGUUCGGGAUAACAGUUGGAAACGACUGCUAAUACCGGAUGAUGACUUCGGUCCAAAGAUUUAUCGCCCAGGGAUGAGCCCGCGUAGGAUUAGCGUAGUUGGUGAGGUAAAGGCUCACCAAGGCGACG